CGGGACGUAGCUCAGUUCGGUAGAGCGCCCGCUUUGGGAGCGGGUGGCCGCGGGUUCAAAUCCUGCCGUCCCGA
rnacentral:tRNA from 1 species